CCUAGUGGUACACACCUGUAAUCCCAGCUACUUGGGAGGCUGAGGCAGGAGAAUCGCUUAAAUCCGGGAGGCAAAGGUUGCAGUGAACCGAGAUCACGCCACUGCACUCCAGACUGGACGACAGAGCGAAACUCCAUCUUAAAAAACAAAACAGAACAAAAAAGUGAGAACAUACGAUGUUUGCUUUUCCAUUCCUGAGUUACUUCAUUUAGAAUAUAAUGGUUUAAAAAAAAAAGAAUAUGAUGGUUUCUUUCCUUCCUCCCUUUCUUCCUCCUCCUCUUCUUCUUUCUCUCUCUCUCUCUCGCUCUUUCUCUCUCAGUAAAAUAACCUAAUUUAUUUUUUUAAAUUCCCAGUACCAUGUCUUAAACUUAUGAGUAAGGAAAAUAACGAUUGUUAUUCGGGGUGAUGCCCGAAUCCUCACUGCUAAUGUGAGACGAAUUUUUGAGCUGGUAAAGGUCGCCCCUAAGGUGACCAGCCUACUUUGCGGGAUGCCUAGGAGUCGCGAUCUGCCUGACACCUUUACACCUAAAAAGUAGACUGGGGG
rnacentral:lncRNA from 1 species